rnacentral:rRNA from 1 species
UACGUAUGGCGCAAGCGUUAUCCGGAAUUAUUGGGCGUAAAGGGCGUCCAGGUGGAUUUGAAAGUCUGAUGUGAAAAUCCGGGGCUUAACUACGGAUUGCAUUUGAAACUGUCAAUCUAGAGUACUGUAGAGGUGGGUGGAAUUUCUAGUGUAGAGGUGAAAUUCGUAGAUAUUUGAAGGAAUGCCGAUGGAGAAGGCAGCCCACUGGGCAGAUACUGACGCUGAGGCGCGAAAGCGUGGGUAGCAAACAGG